UAGUCUGGGAUACCACUUGGAAACAGGCGCUAAUACCGGAUAAGAAAGCGGAUCGCAUGAUCAGCUUUUAAAAGGCGGCGUAAGCUGUCGCUAUGGGAUGGCCCCGCGGUGCAUUAGCUAGUUGGUAAGGUAAAGGCUUACCAAGGCGAUGAUGCAUAGCCGAGUUGAGAGACUGAUCGGCCACAUUGGGACUGAGACACGGCCCAAACUCCUACGGGAGGCAGCAGGGC
rnacentral:rRNA from 1 species